UUAAAUUAAUUUUAAAUUUAAAUUUUUUAUUUUGAAUGUAGCUUAUUUGGCUUUCUUUUAAACAUCUAUAUAUAUCCUUUGAAUAGGGGAUCCUGACUGAGUAUGGCGGGCCUCUUCAGCGGUCGGGCGGGCGAGCGGACGCCAGCGUGCGGGUGCGUGCGCCAGUAGCGCAGGCACGAGUCGCGCGAGCGUGCGAACGGACGUGGCCUGGCGAAGGCGUGGGCCCAGGUGGGCGAGUGCGCUGCAUGGGCGCGAGCAGGCGCGCGCGGGCGAGGGGACGUUGGCGGGCGAGCGGAUGCGUGCGCGGUCGUGAGUGGGUGCGGGCGAGCGGGAAUAGGCGCGCUGUAAUAUACUGAAGCUUAGCAAAUUGUUGUGAGCUGUUAUGAGCUAAUUAAUUAGCACGGUAGCAUUGGGUUCGUUCUUGCGAGCGAGCGAGGCGAGCGAGCGAGCUAGCGAGUCAAGUGCAUGCGUCGUAGUAGAGCCAUUGGAGGUUGGGCGAGCGUGGAAUUUCUUCUCCUAUCGACUUCUAGCUGUCGUGGAUUAGCUUUUGAGAGCCUUUUUCUUCGGCUGCUGCUACUGCUGAGUCUGAU